ACCAGGUUGAAGUUCAGGUAACACUGAAUGGAGGACCGAACCGACUUACGUUGAAAAGUGGGCGGAUGAAUUGUGGGUAGCGGAGAAAUUCCAAUCGAACCUGGAGAUAGCUGGUUCUCUCCGAAAUAGCUUUAGGGCUAGCGUCAGAGUUUAGAUUGCAGGAGGUAGAGCACUGACUGUCCUAGGGGCCCUUUGGGUUACCGAAGACUAUCAAACUCCGAAUGCCUGUAUAUUAUAUCUGGCAGUCAGACUAUGAGUGAUAAGAUCCAUGGUCAAGAGGGCAACAGCCCAGACCGUCAGCUAAGGUCCCAAAAUGUGUGUUAAGUGGAAAAGGAUGUGGGAUUGCCCAGACAACCAGGAUGUUGGCUUAGAAGCAGCCAUUCAUUUAAAGAGUGCGUAAUAGCUCACUGGUCGAGUGGUCCCGCGCCGAAAAUUACCGGGGCUCAAACACACUACCGAAGCUACGGAUUCGCACGGAUUCUUAGAUACUUUAAAAACGUGAAAUUAGGUUACAAGGUAAUUUGGCGGUAUAAGGCCAAUUGCUUUUUAAGAUGGCUAAUCGCCAAAUUUAAACCUCAAGCACACGGCAAGUUUAAGGUAUGUAAGAAUCCGUGCGAGUGGUAGGAGAGCGUCGUAUACGGGCUGAAGCUGUACCGUAAGGAGCAGUGGACUGUAUACGAGUGAGAAUGUUGGCAUGAGUAGCGAGAUGGAUGUGAGAAUCAUCCAGGCCGAAAACCCAAGGUUUCCUGAGCAAGGUUCGUCCUCUCAGGGUUAGUCGGGACCUAAGCCAAGGCCGAAAGGCGUAGGUGAUGGACAACAGGUGUAGAUUCCUGUACCACCAAUUAUCGUUUGAGUGAUGGAGUGACACAGAAGGAUAGGCGAUCACACAGUUGGAUUUGUGUGUCCAAGCAUUGAGGAAGUAGCCGCAGGCAAAUCCGCGGUUACAAUUCUGGGAUGUGAUGGGGAGCGAAAUUUAGUAGCGAAGUCGUUGAUUUCACGCUGUCAGGAAAAGCUUCUAGCGAGAUAAAAGGUGCCCGUACCGCAAACCGACACAGGUGGGUGGGGAGAGAAUCCCAAGGCCAGCGAGAGAACUGUUGUUAAGGAACUCGGCAAAAUUACCCCGUAACUUAGGGAGAAGGGGUGCCUCAUUAGUGUUAACGCACGAAGAGGCCGCAGAGAAUAGGCCCAAGCGACUGUUUACCAAAAACAUAGGUCUCUGCUAAACCGCAAGGUGAAGUAUAGGGGCUGACGCCUGCCCGGUGCUGGAAGGUUAAGGGGAUGUGUUAGCGCAAGCGAAGCACUGAACUUAAGCCCCAGUAAACGGCGGCCGUAACUAUAACGGUCCUAAGGUAGCGAAAUUCCUUGUCGGGUAAGUUCCGACCCGCACGAAAGGCGUAACGAUUUGGGCGCUGUCUCAACAACAGACUCGGUGAAAUUGUAAUUCCGGUGAAGAUGCCGGAUACCUGCGACAGGACGGAAAGACCCCAUGGAGCUUUACUGUAGCUUAGCAUUGGAUUUAGGUAGUAUAUGUACAGGAUAGGUGGGAGGCUUUGAAAGUAGGACGCCAGUUUUGCUGGAGCCAUCCUUGGGAUACCACCCUUGUACUAUCUGGAUUCUAACCACGAUGAGUGAAUCCUCAUCUGGGACACUGCUUGGCGGGCAGUUUGACUGGGGCGGUCGCCUCCCAAAAUGUAACGGAGGCGCUCAAAGGUUCCCUCAGCACGGUCGGAAAUCGUGCGUAGAGUGUAAAGGCAAAAGGAAGCUUGAUUGCAAGACAUACAGGUCGAGCAAGGACGAAAGUCGGACUUAGUGAUCCGGUGGUACCGCGUGGAAGGGCCAUCGCUCAACGGAUAAAAGCUACCCUGGGGAUAACAGGCUGAUCUCCCCCAAGAGUCCACAUCGACGGGGAGGUUUGGCACCUCGAUGUCGGCUCAUCACAUCCUGGGGCUGUAGUAGGUCCCAAGGGUUGGGCUGUUCGCCCAUUAAAGUGGUACGCGAGCUGGGUU
rnacentral:rRNA from 1 species